UAAGACAGAGGGUGCAAACGUUGCUCGGAAUCACUGGGCGUAAAGGGCGUGUAGGCGGGAAGGAAAGUCGGGCGUGAAAUCCCUGGGCUCAACCCAGGAACUGCACUCGAAACUUCUUUUCUUGAGUGCCGGAGAGGAAAGCGGAAUUCCUGGUGUAGAGGUGAAAUUCGUAGAUAUCAGGAGGAACACCAGUGGCGAAGGCGGCUUUCUGGACGGUAACUGACGCUGAGACGCGAAAGCGUGGGGAGCAAACAGGAUUAGAUACCCUGGUAGUCCACGCUGUAAACGAUGAGUGCUAGGUGUCGUGGGUAUUGACCCCCGCGGUGCCGUAGCUAACGCAUUAAGCACUCCGCCUGGGAAGUACGGUCGCAAGACUA
rnacentral:rRNA from 1 species